rnacentral:lncRNA from 1 species
GGAAAAUGCAUAUUUAGAGUGUUUCAAAAUGCAAGGAUGUGGUUAUAGCCUAGCCUGAUCCUAUCUUCCAUAACUGAAGAGGGUCUCUUUACCAAUCUCGGUAUAAAUGGAAAGUUGUGUCCCAAAUGGAAGAGGCGAAACACAAAUAUGUCAUGAUUCUUACUACUGGAACAACUUUUGAAAACUCAUCAAUCCAAGCCCUCAAAUUCAACAGGCACGCCACAAAUCAAGCCGAGAGAGCAUUACAUGUACUAUCUAAAAAUGAUGUGUCAUAUGAUACAGGAACCUUAUCCAUUCACAACUGAAAGCUAAACAUGAGAUAUCAAACCCAAUUGUUCCUUUUUAUCGACAAGGUCCAAAGACAAUAAUUAACCAAGACCAAUAGAUAAGCAGUGGCAAAAUUCACAAGUAGCAUGCACAUUUUGCAUAUCAAAUUAAAAACUUCAUCUCUUCUAUUGCCAUGGAAGUCCAAGCUCAAAUUAGAUCUGCCACAUUCAUAGGCAUUUCAUUUAUCUGGGUACUGUAGUACUGCUCUAUAACUCGUAAGAUUUUGAUAUCAUCACUUUUAACAAAGUUGAUUGCAACGCCUUGCACGUCAUCAUAAAAUUAAGUAAUUACAAAUAAAUAUCAUAUAAGGAUAAACUCAAAAAUAUAACACAAAAAGAAAGCAGAUGUUACAGGAUAGAUUAAAACAAAAUAUGAUAAAAGUAAAUAAUUUAACAAGUUUCAGUUAAUGAUGAUGUGUUGGAUCUACAGCAGUUAAUAUCCAG